NGUGGAGCAGCUCGGUAGCUCGCUGGGCUCAUAACCCAGAGGUCGCAGGUUCAAAUCCUGUCCCCGCUAC
rnacentral:tRNA from 1 species